CAGUUCGUUUCUGUUUCACAAGAUCAUAAGUAUGUGGAAGCAACUUAUUUUCAUUACAAUGAUUUUGAUUGUGGCAUCUGAAGGUGCUCCAUCAUCCUCCACUACGGUUAAACCACCUUCUACCAAAAGUAUAAACGAUCAACUUUUGGAUGUUCUGAAGACUAAUACGGAUCCGACAGUGGCCAAAACUAUUUUAGGAUUACAACAACAGAUUUACCAAACCAAUUUAAACAUACUUCAUAAUUUUAAUUAAAAAAUAUAUUUAUGUAAUAAUUAUAAUUUGAGUAAAAAUGUUAAACAAAUAAUAAUAACAAUAUUUUUUCUUA